UACGGAGGGUGCGAGCGUUACUCGGAAUUACUGGGCGUAAAGAGCUCGUAGGCGGUUUAAUAAGUCUGAUGUGAAAGCCCUGGACUCAAUCCGGGAAGUGCAUUGGAUACUGUUAGACUGGAGUAUGGGAGAGGUGAGUGGAAUUCCUGGUGUAGAGGUGAAAUUCGUAGAUAUCAGGAGGAACAUCGGUGGCGAAGGCGACUCACUGGACCAUUACUGACGCUGAGGAGCGAAAGCGUGGGGAGCAAAC
rnacentral:rRNA from 1 species